UGCCUCUCAGGGUCACAACUGGAGAGUUUCCAGUCCUCUACCAGUUUCGACUAUGGGAGGGAGAGUCAAGUAGAGGCAUAUCCAUUCCAUUCCUAGCUUUGCAGUGGCUAGUGAGUGGCAGGCAAUCUGCUACAAGU